rnacentral:lncRNA from 1 species
CCCCAUAUAACCAAAGAUCCUAUAGAAACUAACAGCCAACCAAUUCUUCAGAAGAAACUCAGUAACAUCGCUCAUGAUAUAUUCACCACCAUGCCUUAAACAUUCUAGGCUUUUUUAUUCCAACUAACGCCAAAGCAGAGGCCAUCUCAUUUCCGUGCUUCUCAGCCUUCGAGAAGGAAACAUUACCUACUCUAUCCAUUCUGUUUUUGAUAUCCUUGAAGAUAGAUUGUAGCAUCCAUGGUCUCAGCCUUUUUUUUCAAUUCAACUAAACACCUCAUUUGAUCCAAUCUCAAUGAUUAGAGAGCCUUUACCUUUCC